rnacentral:rRNA from 1 species
AGUGAACGUUGGCGGCGUGGAUUAGGCAUGCAAGUCGAGCGAGAACCGUAGCAAUACGGGGACAGCGGCGAAAGGGACAGUAAUGUGUAGGUACCUACCUCCGGGUUCGGGAUAGCUGCGGGAAACUGCAGGUAAUACCGAAUAACGUUUCCGGACCAAAGGUGUGAUUCCACCUGGAGAGGGGCCUGCAUCCUAUUAGCUUGUUGGCGGGGUAACGGCCCACCAAGGCGACGAUGGGUAGCGGGUGUGAGAGCACGACCCGCGUCAUUGGGACUGGGACCCUGCCCAGACACCUACGGGUGGCUGCAGUCGUGAAUCUUCGGCAAUGGGCGCAAGCCUGACCGAGCGACGCCGGGUGCGGGAUGAAGGCCUUCGGGUUGUAAACCGCUGUCGUAGAGGAGGAAAUGCAGGGGGGUUCUCCCCUCUGUUUGACCUAUUCUAGGAGGAAGUACGGGCUAAGUUCGUGCCAGCCGCCGCGGUAA